AGAGUUUGAUCAUGGCUCAGAAUCAACGCUGGCGGCGCGCUUAACACAUGCAAGUCGCACGAGAAAGUGGAGCAAUCCAUGAGUAAAGUGGCGUACGGGUGAGUAACACGUGGAUCAUCUACCUUUUAGUGGGGAAUACCUCCUGGAAACGGGAGACAAUACCGCAUAAGCUCGUAAGAGGAAAGCAGCAAUGCGCUGAAAGAGGAGUCCGCGGCUGAUUAGCUAGUUGGUGAGGUAAUGGCCCACCAAGGCGAAGAUCGGUAGCCGGCCUGAGAGGGCACACGGCCACACUGGCACUGAAACACGGGCCAGACUCCUACGGGAGGCAGCAGUGGGGAAUCUUGCACAAUGGAGGAAACUCUGAUGCAGCGACGCCGCGUGAGCGAUGAAGCCCUUCGGGGUGUAAAGCUCUUUCGACGGGAACGAUAAUGACGGUACCCGAAGAAGAAGCUGCGGCUAACUACGUGCCAGCAGCCGCGGUAAUACGUAGGCAGCGAGCGUUGUUCGGAAUUACUGGGCGUAAAGAGUGCGUAGGCGGUGCUCCAAGUCUGUUGUGAAAUCUCCCGGCUCAACUGGGAGGGUGCGGCGGAAACUGGAAUGCUAGAGUGUGGGAGAGGUAAGCGGAAUUCCUGGUGUAGCGGUGAAAUGCGUAGAUAUCAGGAGGAACACCUGUGGUGUAGACAGCUUACUGGACCACGACUGACGCUGAGGCACGAAAGCGUGGGUAGCAAACAGGAUUAGAUACCCUAGUAGUCC
rnacentral:rRNA from 1 species